rnacentral:lncRNA from 1 species
CUCCCUUCUUUCCUUCCUUCUUUUCACAAAACUCUUCGUUCAUUUUUAAAACACUGCCUGCUUUAUUUAAAGCUAUGGAAAACUGAUCAUCAGAGGAGUACCUCAACAACUAGCGUUUGGUUUGGAGACUGAAGGUCCAUACCUGCAGCAUCAGCAGCCCUGGCUGGGAGCUAUACUGCUAUGAGCCAUGGCCUCAUGAGCCAUGUGUAUUUGUGUACAAUGACCCAAAUGGAAAAGGAAUUUCUGACAUGUAAACAAGUAUUUGUCUCCUGCAGUCUUGAACACGGACCCAUUAUCUUAUCGUUCAUUAGCAGACUAUUGAAUUCACAUAAUCGGUAAUAGUUUCUGGAAGCUGUUUGGCAAGCAGAUAUGGAAAUUACUAACUCACAGCUGGACAAAAGGGCAAGACAACAGAGAUCACUUUUCUGUACUGCUGUGUAUUCAUUUUCCUCUCUGCAAGAAUCUGGCUUCAGCCCAUCAUAGCUGGCAGUGAUACACAAGAUGGGUUGACAGAGAAGGCAGAAGGCACAACAGAUGAAAGAGGCUGCAAGAAAGAGGAGAAAUUCCACAAUUUGGUCCAAAGAAACAAAGAUUUUAUUUGGUCUAAUGGCUGUUCCUUUUGUUGUCAGCUGGAUUGUGCCAGGGAUUUUGGUGAAUUGAAAAUACCUUGUGCUGUAUUUUUUGUUCCUGACAGAUACAGGGAUAAUGGGCUAUAUUUUGUUUAGCAAACCUUGAUCCUGAGUCUGUAGGGAGACCCUCAUGGUCAGGAACUUCUUUCUGUUCAGGUUGGAUUAGGAGACAUCUUGUUAGCUUUUAAUGCUGCAAUUUGUAAGCAUAGACACUUUGGUUCUGCACUCAUUUUUAACCAAUUGCCAUAUUUAGCCAACACAUGGUUCCAAUUUUACCCCACCUCAAAUUCUUAUGAUGUAAAUUUUCAUGGAAAAGUGUCGCUUUGAAAACCAGAAAGCUCUAUCAAGCAACUUAAAAUUUCAUCAGCAAAUAUAUUUGCAACCAUUAUCAGCAGCUUGCUCUUGGCAAUACCCCAGUGCACUCUCCUAGACAGUGGAUUUCUGCCUCCUGUUAGCUGCUAAAGCUGUAAUAUUUUCCUUGAAAUUUACUUGCAAGACUCUUAUCCCCAAGUCCCUAGUAUCUCCUACUUUCUUUGAACUGCUUAAGCCAUUUCCAGCCACUGAAAAAGAGCCAGUCCUUUAGAGCAGAUGACUGAAGUCUUGGAAAGGGAGAAGAGAGUCAGAAACACACAGGAAAAUGAUUUUUUUUUAUUUUUUAUAUUUUUUCCCUUGGAAUGAUAACGUCUCCAUCUAAGUUCUUCUGUUUUCCCUUGUUAUUAUAUUCUUACAGCUCUUGAUUAUCUCACCUGCCUGACAGUGCUCAAACACACCAGAUGGACCGAGUUUUCCAUUCCCAUUU